AUGUCAGGACUCAGCUCUCCAGAGACGGAGGGCUGUCGUAACCUACUUGGGCUACUGGACAAUGAGGAGAUUCAUGGCCCUGUGCAGCACCGUCACCAAUUGCCUGGUGCAGCCCAAAGACCACCAACAUGUAAUGUUAGUGGACAGUCCAAGGGCAGAACUUCUGAGGCGUAAAAACGUCCACCUUUCUGGUCACAUUUAAGUACUUGGCAACACCAGGGGGUGGUUGUUAUACCUCCAGUUACUAAAAAACACAGUCUUAUUUAGCGUAUAAAAGCAAUCACAGCCAAAAUUGAAGGAAACACCAGAGCCAGUUACAAAGACAGAGGACAUCCAGCUCUUUCGACAGCAGGCAAAAGAUUAAAAAGCUGAAAAGGUUGAUUUUCAUUGCCUGGGAGAAUUCUGUCACCGGGUCUUUGGACUUCUUAAUUCUCACAAUUCUUUCCUGGGACCACCUCAAGAUGAAUGGGAACCACAGCAUGAUGUCCAGCUUAGAUUCUAUUACAACAAGUCAGAACAAAACGUGAUAGACUCAGCUUAGAUUCUAUUACAACAAGUCAGAACAAAACGUGAUAAUGGACUACCAUGGGACAGAAAUCAUGAGUCUCCGUUUGCCGUCACUAGUAAAAGAAGAAUUUCUUUUUCUCAGCCCAAUGUAGAAAUGUACUUCUUCUCUUCAUGGGCUGGUGAUGGUUGGAACUGCUGGGAACUGCUGGGACAUCGAGGGAACACUUGCUUGGGCAUUUUUGAACAAAGUUUUGGGCUCACCUGCUGCCCUUUUGUGGAGAAUACUUGGAAAAUCAAAUUUAUCAACCUGAGAAUUGUUGGAGACAGUUCCCUUGCUCCUGGAAUUACUGAAACCAGCUGUUACAUUUGAACAAGGUGGUCUAGAGGCCUUUCAUAAUAUAAUCACCUUACAUGGCACCAACACAGUGCAACAUCACGUAAAGUAG
rnacentral:lncRNA from 1 species